rnacentral:rRNA from 1 species
ACGAUGAAUCUUCUAGCUUGCUAGAAGUGGAUUAGUGGCGCACGGGUGAGUAAUGCAUAGGUUAUGUGCCCUUUAGUCUGGGAUAGCCACUGGAAACGGUGAUUAAUACUGGAUACUCCCUACGGGGGAAAGUUUUUCGCUAAAGGAUCAGCCUAUGUCCUAUCAGCUUGUUGGUGAGGUAAUGGCUCACCAAGGCUAUGACGGGUAUCCGGCCUGAGAGGGUGAUCGGACACACUGGAACUGAGACACGGUCCAGACUCCUACGGGAGGCAGCAGUAGGGAAUAUUGCUCAAUGGGGGAAACCCUGAAGCAGCAACGCCGCGUGGAGGAUGAAGGUUUUAGGAUUGUAAACUCCUUUUGUUAGAGAAGAUUAUGACGGUAUCUAACGAAUAAGCACCGGCUAACUCCGUGCCAGCAGCCGCGGUAAUACGGAGGGUGCAAGCGUUACUCGGAAUCACUGGGCGUAAAGAGUGCGUAGGCGGGGUAAUAAGUCAGAUGUGAAAUCCUGUAGCUUAACUACAGAACUGCAUUUGCAACUGUUACUCUGGAGUGUGGGAGAGGUAGGUGGAAUUCUUGGUGUAGGGGUAAAAUCCGUAGAGAUCAAGAGGAAUACUCAUUGCGAAGGCGACCUGCUGGAACAUUACUGACGCUGAUGCACGAAAGCGUGGGGAGCAAACAGGAUUAGAUACCCUGGUAGUCCACGCCCUAAACGAUGGAUGCUAGUUGUUGCCUUGCUUGUCAGGGCAGUAAUGCAGCUAACGCAUUAAGCAUCCCGCCUGGGGAGUACGGUCGCAAGAUUAAAACUCAAAGGAAUAGACGGGGACCCGCACAAGCGGUGGAGCAUGUGGUUUAAUUCGAAGAUACGCGAAGAACCUUACCUAGGCUUGACAUUGA